GGCCUCUUGUCUCAUUGUUCUCUGUAGGUUCUGGAACAUUACAGACGCACCGAGGAGGAGAUGUACACUGUCAUUUUUUUCUUUUACGUGAAUUCUUUCGGAAAACACUUUAAAGCUGGUAUAUUGUGCUAGUGGGUGUGGUUAAUAUUCCAUCCGGACGAGCCUGAACACAAGCCUCCGCAGAUCAGGGCUCUCAGCCCUGCCUUUCGUUUUCAUGUGAGGAAAUGAGGUGGGUUAGGUUGGAGUAGUCAUGGAGACUCCUGUUGCUGGCCUACUGUGUGUGGGUUUCCUGAAGGAACAGGUUUCCGUGGGGUAGGGUUGGAGGACUUGGGAGCUGUAUAGAACAAGAACUUUCUUCCACAUGAGGAUGCACAUCCACUCUGUCACCAUAUCCUAGGGUGCCUCUGGCCUUCAGGUCUGCAACUGGAUACUCACUUCCCCAGAAUGAAAGGAAACAGACGGUAGUCAAGGAGGUACAAUGGGGUUCCUAGACUGUAAUGAGAGUUGAGAAACUGAGCGAAGUAUAAGCCAGCAUGCAUGUGAGUGUGCACAGUCAUUUGCCUCUGCUCUCGACACUGUGAUGUGGCCAGCUGUUGGAAGAUCCUGCCCUGACUUCUGUACAAAGAUCGACUAUAAACUGGAAUUGGGAGCUGAAAUAAACCCUCCACCUCUACAUUGCUUUUUGUCUGGGUAUUUCAUCUUAAAAAGAAGAGAAGCUGACACACUGUUGGGAAGAUAUGUUCCUUUCACUGAUGUCCCUUCACGCAGUAGAACCGGGAACUUCUCAAACUUCUGUGGGAGUUUCUGAGAGCCAAGUCUCCUUCCUUGCCACCCUGAUCUCCAGGAGCCCUGGGACAGCCGCUGGACACUUCACCUAGCGUCACUGUUUUUACCAUGCUGGCAUCUUUGUUUUAGUGCCUCAAAUUCAUGCUUUCAAGCCCUAAGCCCGCUACAUCAGAACCUGAAUGCCUUUGGAGAUGGUGCUUUGAAAAGACGGGCAAGGACAGGUCACAUGACAUCGUGGGGAAAGUCAUCUGUAGCCAAGCCUGAGGACCUGAGUUCAAUCCCUCGGACUUACACGGUGGCAGGAGAGAACUGGUUAUUACAAGCUGUCCUUGAAUUCCACGACAUGUGAACCUUGAACUCCCAACCCCAACCCACAAAUAAAAAGAUAAAAAUAUAAU
rnacentral:lncRNA from 1 species